rnacentral:rRNA from 1 species
UACGUAGGGGGCUAGCGUUGUCCGGAUUUACUGGGCGUAAAGGGCGCGUAGGCGGGUCGUUUAGUUAGAGGUGAAAGCCCAGGGCUCAACCCUGGAAUUGCCUUUAAUACUGGCGGCCUUGAGUAUGGCAGAGGUGUGUGGAACUCCGAGUGUAGAGGUGAAAUUCGUAGAUAUUCGGAAGAACACCAGUGGCGAAGGCGGCUCUCUGGGACGGUACUGACGCUGAGACGCGAAAGCGUGGGGAGCGAACAGG